rnacentral:misc_RNA from 1 species
GAUGAAGAACGCAGCGAAAUGCGAUAAGUAAUGUGAAUUGCAGAAUUCAGUGAAUCAUCGAAUCUUUGAACGCACAUUGCGCCCGCCAGUAUUCUGGCGGGCAUGCCUGUCUGAGCGUCAUUUCAACCCUCAUGCCCCUAGGGCGUGGUGUUGGGGAUCGGCCAAAGCCCGCGAGGGACGGCCGGCCCCUAAAUCUAGUGGCGGACCCGUCGUGUCCUCCUCUGCGAAGUAGUGAUAUUCCGCAUCGGAGAGCGAUGAGCCCCUGCCGUUAAACCCCCAACUUUCCAAGGUUGACCUCAGAUCAGGUAGGAAUACCCGCUGAACUUAAGCAUAUCAAUAAGCGGAGGA